rnacentral:rRNA from 1 species
CGUAGGUGGCGAGCGUUGUCCGGAAUUAUUGGGCGUAAAGGGCGCGUAGGCGGCUCAUUAAGUCAGAUGUGAAAACCCAGGGCUUAACUCUGGGAGUGCAUUUGAAACUGAAGGGCUCGAGUGCAGGAGAGGUAAGUGGAAUUCCUAGUGUAGCGGUGAAAUGCGUAGAUAUUAGGAGGAACACCAGUGGCGAAGGCGACUUACUGGACUGUAACUGACGCUGAGGCGCGAAAGCGUGGGGAGCAAACAGGAUUAGAUACCCUGGUAGUCCACGCUGUAAACGAUGGAUACUAGGUGUGGGAGGUAUCGACCCCUUCCGUGCCGCAGUUAACGCAAUAAGUAUCCCGCCUGGGGAGUACGGCCGCAAGGUUG